GACGGCGACGGACUCAUCACCUUCGACGCGUUCAUCAUAUGGUGGCCUGAGACGGUGCAUGCUUCGCCAAAUCUUGAGGCUCCAAGAUCUCCUCCCCUGUUUCUCGUUUUCGUGACCGACGAGGCUGCAACGACCUAUCUCUGUCCCUUUUUCCCUAAUUCCCCCUUUUCCCUUGCUCAAUUCGUGCUGAAUCUGUGCAGGAGCCGACGAUCCCGAUCUCUAGGAACCCUCAAGGUGAUGCAUCUCUUCAACUGGCGUGAAGCUGAGCACUUCAACCUCAAGCUGCUCUCCGGCGCCAUGUAUUCUCUAUCCGCUCGGCUGCUGCAGUAAUUUCUCCCACCUCCACGGUUCCAAUCUCUAGAUCAAUCGAGUGGACACCUCUUGGACGUCAACAAGAGCGCCAUCGCCAUCGACCCCUCAGCUCGGACGAAACAUCUGUCCGUCGCCCCACCAGCAAGCUGCAAGGGCUUACUAUGGUGUCCUCUGUUUUGUCAUUGAGAGUGGUGCCAAGGUCAUUAUUAGUGGCAAGCUUAGGGCUCAGAGGGUCAAGAGACCAUGAGUACAUUGAUGCAGCUGGGAGACACAUGCUUCUCAGAGAGG